rnacentral:rRNA from 1 species
AGCGAACGCUGGCGGCAGGCCUAACACAUGCAAGUCGAACGAACCUUUCGGGGUUAGUGGCGGACGGGGGAGGAACACGUGGGAACGUGCCUUUAGGUUCGGAAUAACUCAGGGAAACUUGUGCUAAUACCGAAUGGGCCCUUCGGGGGAAAGAUUUAUCGCCUUUAGAGCGGCCCGCGUCUGAUUAGCUAGUUGGGUGAGGUAAUGGCUCACCAAGGCGACGAUCAGUAGCUGGUCUGAGAGGAUGAUCAGCCACAUUGGGACUGAGACACGGCCCAAACUCCGACGGGAGGGAGCAGUGGGGAAUCUUGCGCAAUGGGCGAAAGCCUGACGCAGCCAUGCCGCGUGAAUGAUGAAGGUCUUAGGAUUGUAAAAUUCUUUCACCGGGGACGAUAAUGACGGUACCCGGAGAAGAAGCCCCGGCUAACUUCGUG